rnacentral:tRNA from 2 species
GGGCCUAUAGCUCAGCUGGUUAGAGCGCACCCCUGAUAAGGGUGAGGUCUGAGGUCCGAAUCCUCAUAGGCCCA